UACGAAGGGGGCUAGCGUUACUCGGAUUGACUGGGCGUAAAGGGCGCGUAGGCGGAUGGUACAGUCAGACGUGAAAUUCCUGGGCUCAACCUGGGGGCUGCGUUUGAUACUGGAUGGCUUGAGUUUGGGAGAGGGAUGCGGAAUUCCAGGUGUAGCGGUGAAAUGCGUAGAUAUCUGGAGGAACACCGGUGGCGAAGGCGGCAUCCUGGACCAACACUGACACUGAGGAGCGAAAGCCAGGGGAGCAAACGGG
rnacentral:rRNA from 1 species